rnacentral:snoRNA from 1 species
GGAAGUGAUGAGUUUCAAUUGUCGCCCCAGUCCUAAGCAUCAGCUUCGGCUCAUCAUGAGGAUUGACUAUAUUUUACUCUGAUCC